rnacentral:misc_RNA from 1 species
CAAGCCCCAGCGGCUUGGUGUUGGGGACCGGCCCCGGCCGCCCCCCAAAUGCAGUGGCGACCUCGCCGCAGCCUCCCCUGCGUAGUAGCAACAACCUCGCACCGGAGCGCGGAGACGGUCACGCCGUAAAAUCGCCCAACUUCUUUAGAG